rnacentral:rRNA from 1 species
GGGCCCGCACAAGCGGUGGAGUAUGUGGUUUAAUUCGAUGCAACGCGAAGAACCUUACCAGGACUUAAAUGUAAGUUGCAUGAUUCAGAAAUGAAUCUUUCUUCGGACUACUUACAAGGUGCUGCAUGGUUGUCGUCAGCUCGUGCCGUGAGGUGUCAGGUUAAGUCCUAUAACGAGCGCAACCCCUAUCGUUAGUUGCCAUCAAGUAAAGUUGGGAACUCUAGCGAAACUGCCGGUGCAAACCGAGAGGAAGGUGGGGAUGACGUCAAAUCAUCACGGCCCUUACGUUCUGGGCUACACACGUGCUACAAUGGUCGGUACAGAAAGCAGCCACUAUGCGAAUAGGAGCUAAAUCUUUAAAAACCGAUCUCAGUUCGGAUCGCAGUCUGCAACUCGACUGCGUGAAGCUGGAAUCGCUAG